UAACCCUUUGUUGUCCGACUCUGUUGCCUCCGGGGCGACCCUGCCUUCGGGCGGGGGCUCCGGGUGGACACUUCAAACUCUUGCGUAACUUUGCAGUCUGAGUAAACUUAAUUAAUAAAUUAAAACUUUUAACAACGGAUCUCUUGGUUCUGGCAUCGAUGAAGAACGCAGCGAAAUGCGAUAAGUAAUGUGAAUUGCAGAAUUCAGUGAAUCAUCGAAUCUUUGAACGCACAUUGCGCCCCCUGGUAUUCCGGGGGGCAUGCCUGUUCGAGCGUCAUUUCACCACUCAAGCCUCGCUUGGUAUUGGGCAACGCGGUCCGCCGCGUGCCUCAAAUCGACCGGCUGGGUCUUCUGUCCCCUAAGCGUUGUGGAAACUAUUCGCUAAAGGGUGCUCGGGAGGCUACGCCGUAAAACAACCCCAUUUCUAAGGUUGACCUCGGAUCAGGUAGGGAUACCCGCUGAACUUAAGCAUAUCAAU
rnacentral:rRNA from 1 species